rnacentral:sRNA from 1 species
ACCAGGAGCGGUGGCGCACGCCUAUAAUCCCAGCGUCUCAGGAGGCUGAGGCAGGAGGAGCACUGAGUUCAAAGCCAGCCUCAGCAAAAGGGAGGCACUAAGCAACUCAGUGAGACCCUGUCUCUA